CAUUCAAUGAUAUAAGCAGAUCAAAAACAAUGGGUGUUCUCUCAAGCUACUAGGCUACCCGACUUCGAAGAUACGCAACCGAUCAUGACAUAUUAUGAUUACAAGACGUUUCCUCUGACUUACCGCACUUCCUUCUCGACGUCGUUGACGUAGACACUCUGUUUUUACUCCUUACUCUUCAACCCAAUUGAAGAAGUGUCCAUCCCCUUCGUUAUCUAGUUCAAGUGACCGGUGGCCGACCGUUACCGAUUUGGCACAAACGAACGAAAAGAACAGUGACUUCAACUCUGAAGUCAUCACGACCAUAAAUGUCAAAUCGGGAUACGAACUAGGUGGGAUAACCGAGUCUUGACUUAAGUCGUGACGUUCACGAAGUAUCCUAAUCCCGACUGUGGCACCGUCAUUAACUACGUCAUACGAGAACAAUAACACAAAGAUAGAGAACAAUUGAAAUAGCUAGGUUGCUCAUGAACCUUCAACCUGCGCUCACUCCGACACGGCAAGACAAGGUCUGAAAUCUACAGCACAGAAGUUUUAAAGUAGCAGAAACAAAGUUGAGGUAGUCGUUAGGCCACCCUACAGUCUCGGUUAAUGGUUAAAGGGCGCUGAAUCAACAACACUUUUCAAAACUGAACCCUCAACAACUUUCGGUACGAACAAGCGGCACAGAAGAAUAGAACCUACUAUAUACAGUUUUUCCCUGAGUAUAGACUCUAGAAAGAUCUUCUAAAUUAAAUGUUUUAGAUAUCAAAAACAUAUGAGAAACUAUCCCACAUUUGAGAGCCUGCUCCUUUUACUAGGUACACUUUCUUAGGUGAUUCUCCGCCUCUUUUAAGCUCUGUAUACGUUCGUGUUGUGACCUUUCCUGGAACUCUCUCUCUUUUGUUAUGUUUGUCCAGGGCAUCUUGAAGUGGUACUCUGGAACAGUAGCGGGCUGCGGAAGGACCGAAGGAGGUAUCAGCUACCUCACGAGCAGUCUCCCCUUUGGCUCGUAGGAAAUGUAGUCCGUCCACUCCUCCUAGAAGUGAACAGGCGAGAACCUCCGG
rnacentral:rRNA from 1 species